GACGAACGCUAGCUACAGGCUUAACACAUGCAAGUCGAGGGGAAACGACAUCGGAAGCUUGCUUUUGAUGGGCGUCGACCGGCGCACGGGUGAGUAACGCGUAUCCAACCUGCCCACCACUUGGGGAUAACCUUGCGAAAGUAAGACUAAUACCCAAUGAUAUCUCUAGACGACAUCUGAAAGGGAUUAAAGAUUUAUCGGUGAUGGAUGGGGAUGCGUCUGAUUAGCUUGUUGGCGGGUAACGGCCCACCAAGGCAACGAUCAGUAGGGGUUCUGAGAGGAAGGUCCCCCANAUUGGAACUGAGACACGGUCCAAACUCCUACGGGAGCAGCAGUGAGGAAUAUUGGUCAAUGGACGGGAUCUGAACCAGCCAAGUAGCGUGCAGGAUGACGGCCCUAUGGG
rnacentral:rRNA from 1 species